AGCCUAAGCCCAGCAGACAACCGCUCAACACCUAAUCUAACCGCUCAGCGGUUUGCCUCUAAUCGUUCAACCGCUCAGCGCCCUAUUUGAUCGCUCAGCGGUUUGCCACCAAUCGUUCUGGGCGCUCAGCGGUUCGUUUUGGCGCUCAACGGUUCCUUUGGCUCUUCUUUUCAUCCUUUUUCUUCAUCUUUCACGAGCACAAGUCCCCCUUACUUCACUUCCAUCUUCAAAUCACCUCAAGACCCUGCAAAACAAUGUAAAACCAAGCAUAAUACCUUUAAAACCAACUUUUGACUCUCAAUGACUCAACUAAUUGUUUUACUUGAUUUUAAGCUCAUUCUAAGCCAUAAAGGUUGUGUUUUAAUAUCAAAUUUAAGCAUGAAAAUAACGGUUUUUAGACCGUUAUCACCUUUAUACACUUUUGAGUGCUUGAGUUAUACAUUUUUGAGUGUUUGAGUGUUAAACUGCUUUUUAGUCUCCUAAAGCAGAAGAAAAUUUGUCCCGACUAAUGUAGGAUAGGGAUGACCAAGAUAUCAAUC
rnacentral:lncRNA from 1 species